rnacentral:rRNA from 1 species
GUGAGGAAUUUUCCGCAAUGGGCGAAAGCCUGACGGAGCAAUGCCGCGUGAAGGAUGAAGGCCUAUGGGUUGUAAACUUCUUUUCUCAGAAAAGAAUUAUGACGGUAUCUGAGGAAUAAGCAUCGGCUAACUCUGUGCCAGCAGCCGCGGUAAGACAGAGGAUGCAAGCGUUAUCCGGAAUGAUUGGGCGUAAAGCGUCUGUAGGUUGUUUAAAAAGUAUUCUGUCAAAGAUUAGGGCUUAACCCUAGAUAGGCAGAAUAAACUUUUAAGCUAGAGUUUGGUAGAGGCAGAGGGAAUUCCCGGUGGAGCGGUGAAAUGCGUAGAUAUCGGGAGGAACACCAAAGGCGAAGGCACUCUGCUGGGCCAAUACUAACACUGAGAGACGAAAGCGAGGGGAGCAAAUGGGAUUAGAAACCUUGUAGUCC